rnacentral:rRNA from 1 species
GGUUGCGAUCAUACCAUCACUAAUGCACCGGAUCCCAUCAGAACUCCGCAGUUAAGCGUGCUUGGGCGAGAGUAGUACUAGGAUGGGUGACCCCCUGGGAAGUCCCCGUGUUGCAACCC